AGGAGAGCCCACCCAGAUCCUAGGGACAAACCCAUUCUUUCCUGCUUCAUUCCCGUCAAAGAUUUAAGUAGCAGUAAUGACAACAGCACAUGCUUUGAAGACUUCAAUCAACAGCCAGCAAGAAGCCUGUAUCCUUUGUCACAGAGCCACCCAGGGAAUGAGUUCUGCCAAGAAACCAAGCAAGCUUCUUUCUCAGUUGAGACUCCAGAUCUGAACACAGCCCAGGCAACACCUUCACUGCAGCCUUUCGAGAUCCUAAGCUGAUUCAAGCAUUGAGUUGUGGAAACCUGGCAGGUGAUAUUAAUUAUUCAUACCGCAUGAUUAAGGAUUUUGAAGUCAGAGAUUCACCUGCAAUAUUUGGAAUACCAUUGGAGGUCUACAGCAACACAGCAUUUAUAUAGCAGCUGGUGCUAGUCAAAGCUAAUGAUAGAAUUUUAGGUUAAUAAAAAGACCCCCAACUGAGCAUA